ensembl:lncRNA
CACACAUCGCCUUGCAUGGUUGACUCUGCCGUCGGUGUGUCAAUACCCUGAGAGGCCGGUGACCCUGAGGUCCCCCUGCCCAACGAGAGGCCUUCCCCUGAGACCCAGUGCUGGGGCGUCCGUCCCUCAACCUCAUGCUAACGCCACUGCUACUGCUAGCCCGGCGGGAGGCGGCGGCGGCGGUGGCCUGUGUCUCAACAGCCCAUCCCCUCCUGGUAGCACGUCCACCAACUUUUCCCUGGACCGCGGCCGGGCCCAUCUGGACAGCGGCGAGCGGCAGUUGAUGAGGGACGUCCGGGAAUUGAGGCGGAAGCUCGCCAGCGCUCAGGCCCGGGGAGGAAGAGGAGGAGCCAGCGACUCUGCUGCUUCCUCACAAGCAGCCUGGUCACCAACACCCGCCCCACAGUGACCUUCUGCCUCACCUUAACGUGCUUGUGGAUGAUGGAGUCCAUACAUCAUAUAGGAGUUCAGCCUCAGGGCUUUGUGCUAGGCAGGCAGGAUGUUAUGCCAUGGGGGUCUUAUCUGCGUCUUGACAAUCAAGAAGCUUUCGGAGACAUGGGAACUUAAAUUACUUUAAAAUGCUAUUUUAACAUCCCGUGGUUUCAGUGAUUUCUGUAAAUAUUUGUUUUAACAUGUUUUUUUAUCGUCAUUUAGAUUUAAUGUAUUUUGUGUUGUGCUGUGAGGACAUUUUGACACUUUGAUUAAAAAUAAUG